rnacentral:rRNA from 1 species
UCGAGAAUUUUUCUCAAUGGGCGAAAGCCUGAAGGAGCGACGCCGCGUGGGGGAUGAAUGGCUUCGGCCCGUAAACCCCUGUCAUUUGCGAACAAUUUGCAUUAUUUAAAAGAUGAUGCAUUGAUAGUAGCGAAAGAGGAAGGGACGGCUAACUCUGUGCCAGCAGCCGCGGUAAUACAGAGGUCCCGAGCGUUGUUCGGAUUCACUGGGCGUAAAGGGUGCGUAGGUGGUGAGGUAAGUCGGAUGUGAAAUCUCCAAGCUCAACUUGGAAAUGGCAUUGGAAACUACCUUGCUGGAGGUUUGGAGGGGGGACUGGAAUUCUCGGUGUAGCAGUGAAAUGCGUAGAUAUCGAGAGGAACACCAGUGGCGAAGGCGAGUCCCUGGACAACACCUGACACUGAGGCACGAAAGCUAGGGGAGCAAACAGGAUUAGAUACCCCCGUAGUCC